rnacentral:lncRNA from 1 species
ACACAUGAGUCUUCACAAGGCUGCACAAGAUCACAGUCUUGUCAGGAGGAGAAACUGAGGCUCUGGUUUAGGAGCUGCCCUCGAAUCACCAUGGAGCAGGACUGAGCGUGGGCUGCCCGCCCCUCCGCCCAGCCACCCGGCUUCUAAAUCUGGGUCUUUUCCCGCGUCUGAUCCAGAGAGGAGGGAAGGAUGUAUCAAGACAGGGUCUUUGGACAGACAGCCGUUUCAAUAGCUCCUCCUUAGAGCUGGGGUGGGAAUGCCUCUCCCCCCACAUGCCUUCAGCCUAUUGGUGAGCGGGGAGCUGGAGCAAGUGUGAGGACGUAGCCGGUUUAGAAGGAAAUAGCUUAAUCCUUGCGUGGGAUGGAGGAGGCAGGAAGGAGGGAGAUGUGAACCUGAGACCCGGGGCGUGUGACUGCGCCGUGGAAGCCUAAGGGUGUGAUGACCCUGCUGCCUGCCUCUCUCAGGGGGAUCGCCUUUGCUAACUGUGGGGGGCAGGGCGUAGGGCCCUAAUGGGGGACAGGGCCUCCCGGUGGGGGCUGACCCCUCUGACUUUGUCCCCCCACUCGGAAGCCACCACCCUUGUUGUUUGCCCUCUGAGAGUCCUCCUCCCUUGGGCCGCCCCCUGCCCUCUGUCCCUGGGGCCGUGACAUUGGCAGGGUGCCCAGCGGGGCAAAGACGGCAGCUGCAGGUCCUAGUCCCCAGUACGUGUGUGAGUGUGAAUGCGAGUGGGUUGGGAUGGGGGAGCGGCGGGGCUGGGAUCAUCCGCAGAUCAGAGCUCGGGAGUAGAGAGCUUCUAGCGGGUGGGGCCGCCCUACACGCUGGAGCCCGAGGACCUGCCCCUGGGACCACCACCAGCCUCAACACCGCUGGAGGCCAGAGCACGUCGGACAGGCACUGACCAGAGGAGCCUGGGAGGAGCUGUGGGGGUGAGUCAAACUUGGGACGGACUGGGUGUGGCUGGGCUGGGCGAGAUGGGGAGAAGCCAGGGAUGGAAAAGAGCUGCAGGUGGAGCAAGACGAGGAGGGAAACGGGAGAGCAUCCUGCCUCAGCCCUUGUUGCUGCACAGUAGCCUCGCCCCUUUCCCGGGCCCUGCCACCAGGGGGCGCUGCGGGGGGGGCUGCCAAGCAGAGCCGCAAAGGUGUGAGAUGGAGGCAGAGUUACGGCCUUGUGGGCCCCAAAGGGGACGGUGGAUGGUCACCCCGUGUCCAGCGGCAGGACAGUGGGGCUCCCAGCCCAGGGUCCGGGUUCCUAGACCCUCCGCUCCUGCUGUCGGGGAGGGAGGAGCAGGCAGAGGGAGCUGAUCUGCCCAAGACCGCAGUGUGGCCUUUACCCCUGGGUGCCCACCAUGGCCCAGGCCCUGGAGAAGCUCUGGAAUAAAUACCUGUAGGCCUUAGAAAAGGGAGGUAGGAGGUGGUGUCACCUGAUAGUGGCUUUCCUUUGUCUAUUCCACCAGACAGAUGCCCGUCGUUUGGAGCAAGAGGAGAUGGUGACCAGCAGAGCCCCGGGAGCUGCCAGGGAGGGCUGGGUGGCAGGUGGGCCUGGUGGCCAGCUCCACUGCCCCCUUUCUUCUUGCUUUGCCAGACCUGAGGACCCAUUCCUGGUUCCUGGUACGCUCGCUGCUGCCUGUCACCCUCCUCUGGGCCUUCGACCUCCUCCUGGUGGUGGAGGGCCCCCGUCUCAUGUCCCAUGAGGAGCCUUUGAGGCUGGCAGGACCCCUGGCUGCCUACAACCUGGGCCUGAUGGUUCUCUCGGGGCACAUGUUCUAUGAGUUCAUGGCCACCUCGCUCCUGGCCAGCUACAGCUGCUUCUGCCAGCCGGUGAACUACAGCUGGAGUGAGCUGGGGUUAAGGAUGGCGAGCGUGUGCUGGUGGUGCUUCUCAAAGGCCAUUGAAUUACUGGUCGCGGGGAGUAAUUCACAGUGGGUGGUCAUCUUCCUAUCACGAAAGGAGUCAGAGCAAAUGAGCUUCCUGCACGUCUACCACCACAGCACCAUGCUCUUCAGAUAGUGGGCUUGGGUCAAAUAUGUGCCAGGGGUCAAGGGCCAAUGUGUGACCAUUGCUGCCUACUCCUCCUGCAGUCUCUUUGCCAAAGAGUGUCCAUUCCCUGGCAGGCUCAAUGUGACCAUUCUCCUGUACACCCUCAGUCUCAUCAGCCUUUCCCUUAACUUCUACCACCAGACAUACCUGAGAGGCAAGUGGGAGAAGCUGACCUACAAGGUGGGGCCAAGGACUGAAACUAGCAGAGCCCUCCCCAUGGAGAGUUUGGCGAAAGAUGAUACGGCCCACAGCCCACCCGUGCUGAGCAGAUUCCUCUGGGCAAGUAUUUCAUCCUAUGAGGAAAGGACAAUAACAAUUCUCGCCGCCUUCCCAGAGUUCAGGAGGACAGAACUGGACCCAGCUUCCUGAACGCACAUCUCAUGUGGAUUCGUCACUAUUUGCACACCUCCUUCCUCUACUAAACGUGAGUCCUGCUGAGGAGGGACUGCACUCUCAGUGGUCCCCACCCCUGGCACAGUAUCUCAAUAAAUGUGCAUUUAGACCCCUAUAUUCCCCCAUGGGCAGUCAGGGCUGGGAGCAGGGUUGGGAGCAUGGAGGAAGGCAAGGCUGGUUUGAUCUUCCCCUUGCAGGCAGAGAGGAUGGCUGAGAAUAUCUAAUCUAAGGAGUGUGGGUCUGUGUGAUUUCUCUUGGGGCUAUGCCAACAGUUCCCCUGCACAUCUUUCUGUCUGUUCACUAUUACCUAAGGUGCAUUUACACAGUUGUAUGAUUCUGUGUGUAUGGGGCAGCAGAAAGGGCUACUCAUACAUGUCCAAAUACUUUGCUUUUGAAUACACGUGUGUUUCCAUUUAUGAUUUUCUCUGUUGGUGUUUUUUGUUUGUCUCUUCUGUAAAUCUUGGAAAGUGCCAUGCUAGCCAAAUAAAAGCUUCUGGG